UACGAAGGGGGCGAGCGUUGUUCGGAUUUACUGGGCGUAAAGGGCGCGCAGGCGGCUCAUUUUGUCAGGCGUGAAAUCCCCGGGCUUAACCCGGGAACUGCGUCCGAUACUGGGAGGCUUGAAUUCGGGAGAGGGAUGCGGAAUUCCAGGUGUAGCGGUGAAAUGCGUAGAUAUCUGGAGGAACACCGGUGGCGAAGGCGGCAUCCUGGACCGACAUUGACGCUGAUGCGCGAAAGCCAGGGGAGCAAACGGG
rnacentral:rRNA from 1 species